rnacentral:rRNA from 1 species
AGAGUUUGAUCAUGGCUCAGAACGAACGCUGGCGGCGUGCUUAACACAUGCAAGUCGAGUGCGCGGUUGUAGCAAUACAACUGGCGCACGGCGCACGGGUGCGUAACGCGUGGGCAAUCUGCCCUUCGAUGGGGAAUAACUCCGGGAAACCGAAGCUAAUUCCGCAUAACAUUCCCUGGACUCCGGUUCGGGGAAUCAAAGCAGUGAUGCGUCGGAGGAGGAGCCCGCGCCUGAUUAGCUAGUUGGCAGGGUAACGGCCUACCAAGGCAAUGAUCGGUAGCUGGUCUGAGAGGAUGGCCAGCCACACUGGAACUGAGACACGGUCCAGACUCCUACGGGAGGCAGCAGUGGGGAAUCUUGCGCAAUGGGCGAAAGCCUGACGCAGCGACGCCGCGUGGGGGAUGAAGCUUCUCGGAGUGUAAACCCCUUUCGACUGGGACGAAUGCCCGCAAGGGAGUGACGGUACCAGUAGAAGAAGCCCCGGCUAACUACGUGCCAGCAGCCGCGGUAAGACGUAGGGGGCCAGCGUUGUUCGGAAUUACUGGGUGUAAAGGGUUCGUAGGCGGUGUGGCAAGUCGGGAGUGAAAUUUCUGGGCUUAACCCAGAAGCUGCUUCCGAAACUGCUGUGCUCGAGUGUGGGAGAGGCGCGUGGAAUUGCAGGUGUAGCGGUGAAUGCGUAGAUAUCUGCAGGAACACCCGUGGCGAAAGCGGCGCGCUGGACCACAACUGACGCUGAGGAACGAAAGCUAGGGGAGCAAACAGGAUUAGAUACCCUGGUAGUCCUAGCCCUAAACGAUCAGGACUUGGGGUGCCGCACGUUCGUGCGUCGUCCCGGAGCUAACGCGUUAAGUCCUGCACCUGGGGAGUACGGUCGCAAGACUGAAACUCAAAGGAAUUGACGGGGGCCCGCACAAGCGGUGGAACAUGUGGUUCAAUUCGACGCUACGCGAGGAACCUUACCUGGGCUCGAAAUG